rnacentral:rRNA from 1 species
AUUGAACGCUGGCGGCAGGCCUAACCCAUGCAAGUCGACCGAGUGGCGGACGGGUGAGUAAUGUCUGGGAAACUGCCUGAUGGAGGGGGAUAACUACUGGAAACGGUAGCUAAUACCGCAUACCAUCGGAUGUGCCCAGAUGGGAUUAUCUAGUAGGUGGGGUAAAGGCUCACCUAGUCUACGAUCCCUAGCUGGUCUGAGAGGAUGACGAGCCACACUGGCACUGGAACACGGUACCGACUCCUACGGGAGGCAGCAGUGGUGAAUAUUGCACAAUGGGCGCAAGCCUGAUGCAGCCAUGCCGCGUGUAUGAAGAAGGCCGUCGGGUUGUAAAGUACUUUCAGCGGGGAGGCGUUACCCGCAGAAGAAGCACCGGCUAACUCCGUGCCAGCAGCCGCGGUAAUUC